GAUGAACGCUGGCGGCGUGCCUAAUACAUGCAAGUCGAGCGAACGGACGAGAAGCUUGCUUUUCUGAUGUUAGCGGCGGACGGGUGAGUAACACGUGGAUAACCUACCUAUAAGACUGGGAUAACUUCGGGAAACCGGAGCUAAUACCGGAUAAUAUUUUGAACCGCAUGGUUCAAAAGUGAAAGACGGUCUUGCUGUCACUUAUAGAUGGAUCCGCGCUGCAUUAGCUAGUUGGUAAGGUAACGGCUUACCAAGGCAACGAUGCAUAGCCGACCUGAGAGAGUGAGCGGCCACACUGGAACUGAGACACGGUCCAGACUCCUACGGGAGGCAGCAGUAGGGAAUCUUCCGCAAUGGGCGAAAGCCUGACGGAGCAACGCCGCGUGAGUGAUGAAGGUCUUCGGAUCGUAAAACUCUGUUAUUAGGGAAGAACAUAUGUGUAAGUAACUGUGCACAUCUUGACGGUACCUAAUCAGAAAGCCACGGCUAACUACGUG
rnacentral:rRNA from 1 species